UGCGAAUCUUCGGUCUUCGGUUUUCGCUGACUUUUCCGUUGUAUUUAUUAUGUAAAUGUGUCGGGUGCGUGUUUCACAUUUCCACUGACUGAUUUCGUUGAUUUCAACUCAGAGUUGAAACACAUUUCAGGCCAACGAUUUAAAAUCAUUUUUGUACACAGCCCCAAUAAAUAAAUUGCACCCAAUUGAAGUUGAACAGGUGGAAAUGCUUAUUAAUACUUUGACGAUGAAAAAACCUAUCACCAAUUCAGCAAAUAUUGUCACCCACGACUUGAAAUUAUUAGCUUCGAUAACUGUGAAUGUGGUAACUUAUUGUCUUGUGGGAAUUCAGUUCUACAUUUGGUGGAAGCAAACAUCUUAAAAAUGUAAAAAAAAAAAUGUUUUUUAUCCCGUUGUUUUAAUUCACAAUGAUGUAAUUAGUUA